rnacentral:rRNA from 1 species
GCAAGCUUGCUUGGUGGAUCAGUGGCGAACGGGUGAGUAACACGUGAGCAACCUGCCCUGGACUCUGGGAUAAGCGCUGGAAACGGCGUCUAAUACUGGAUAUGAGCUUCUACCGCAUGGUGGGGGUUGGAAAGAUUUUUUGGUCUGGGAUGGGCUCGCGGCCUAUCAGCUUGUUGGUGAGGUAAUGGCUCACCAAGGCGUCGACGGGUAGCCGGCCUGAGAGGGUGACCGGCCACACUGGGACUGAGACACGGCCCAGACUCCUACGGGAGGCAGCAGUGGGGAAUAUUGCACAAUGGGCGGAAGCCUGAUGCAGCAACGCCGCGUGAGGGAUGACGGCCUUCGGGUUGUAAACCUCUUUUAGCAGGGAAGAAGCGAAAGUGACGGUACCUGCAGAAAAAGCGCCGGCUAACUACGUGCCAGCAGCCGCGGUAAUACGUAGGGCGCAAGCGUUAUCCGGAAUUAUUGGGCGUAAAGAGCUCGUAGGCGGUUUGUCGCGUCUGCUGUGAAAUCCCGAGGCUCAACCUCGGGCCUGCAGUGGGUACGGGCAGACUAGAGUGCGGUAGGGGAGAUUGGAAUUCCUGGUGUAGCGGUGGAAUGCGCAGAUAUCAGGAGGAACACCGAUGGCGAAGGCAGAUCUCUGGGCCGUAACUGACGCUGAGGAGCGAAAGGGUGGGGAGCAAACAGGCUUAGAUACCCUGGUAGUCCACCCCGUAAACGUUGGGAACUAGUUGUGGGGACCAUUCCACG